rnacentral:rRNA from 1 species
AGUGAACGCUGGCGGUAGGCUUAACACAUGCAAGUCGAACGGUAGCACAGGAGAGCUUGCUCUCUGGGUGGCGAGUGGCGGACGGGUGAGGAAUACAUCGGAAUCUACUCUGUCGUGGGGGAUAACGUAGGGAAACUUACGCUAAUACCGCAUACGACCUACGGGUGAAAGCAGGGGAUCUUCGGACCUUGCGCGAUUGAAUGAGCCGAUGUCGGAUUAGCUAGUUGGCGGGGUAAAGGCCCACCAAGGCGACGAUCCGUAGCUGGUCUGAGGGGAUGAUCAGCCACACUGGAACUGAGACACGGUCCAGACUCCUACGGGAGGCAGCAGUGGGGAAUAUUGGACAAUGGGCGCAAGCCUGAUCCAGCCAUACCGCGUGGGUGAAGAAGGCCUUCGGGUUGUAAAGCCCUUUUGUUGGGAAAGAAAUCCAGCUGGCUAAUACCCGGUUGGGAUGACGGUACCCAAAGAAUAAGCACCGGCUAACUUCGUGCCAGCAGCCGCAGUAA